AGUGGAAUAGCUGGGCCAUAUGGUAAUUCUAUGUUUAAUUUUUUGAGGAACUGCCAGAUUCUUUUCCAAAGUGGGUGUACCAUUUUACAUUUCCAGCAAU
rnacentral:pre_miRNA from 1 species